AGAGUUGGGAGUUUCUGCAGAUGAUGUGCUGGGCAUCAGAUGAGCCUACGAAGAUUUAAAAAGACUCCAGCCAAUAGAGCUUCACUUUACAACAAAGCUAGAAUGAUGUUCCCCCAAAGAACUACACUAACACUGGUUAAAGGGAUUCAUGUACCACGACUUGGAAUCUCGUCUGUACUAAGUCUUCACAUUCACUUACUGACUCAACCAGACCAACUUCUAGUCCU